rnacentral:rRNA from 1 species
CCAGACUCCUACGGGAGGCAGCAGUGGGGAAUAUUGCACAAUGGGGGAAACCCUGAUGCAGCGACGCCGCGUGAGUGAAGAAGUAUUUCGGUAUGUAAAGCUCUAUCAGCAGGGAAGAAAAUGACGGUACCUGAUUAAGAAGCCCCGGCUAACUACGUGCCAGCAGCCGCGGUAAUACGUAGGGGGCAAGCGUUAUCCGGAAUUACUGGGUGUAAAGGGAGCGUAGACGGGGAUGCAAGUCUGGAGUGAAAGGCGGGGGCCCACCCCCCGGACUGCUCUGGAAACUGUGUAACUUGAGUGCAGGAGAGGUAAGCGGAAUUCCUAGUGUAGCGGUGAAAUGCGUAGAUAUUAGGAGGAACACCAGUGGCGAAGGCGGC